UCAACCUUUAGAUGAGCGACUGUUUUUUUCAAUUUUAUUUUUAGGGUUGUAUUUUCUUCUUCCUGUUUAUUGAUUUUUCCUAAAUAGUGUUGUUGUUCUCUUUAGAUUCGCACAUUCAGUCCAGGGAUCUGAACGAGAGGGUUGGAGAAAUCAGAUUCGCUUAUGCAAGAAAAAAGAGGGAGGAAGAGAUGGCUAAAGAGAAGGAGCAGAAUAAUUUAUUCAAAGUUGUUGUCAGUCAGCUUAAAGUUCCAACUGGUUAUUAUUUCACUGUGUAAUAUUUUUUGGGAUUAUAGUUAAUGGGUUUCUGUUAUUCAGAUACAAUGGAGAAAUGGGAUGCAGAAAGUAUUGGAGGCGAAGCAAAAUAAUCAGAAUAAAUCGAAAGGAGUAUAAUCAGAACAAAUCAAAAGGAGUAUAAUCAAAACAAAUCAAAAUGAGUAUAAUUAGAACAAAUCAACUGACAUCUUAGUUUAAGUUGGUUUUUUACAGUUUAUGUUACAAAUGAUUCUAACAAUUUUAAAUAUAUAGGUAGGAUUUUACUCUGCAAAAAUGGAAUGGUCCUAAAUGA